AGGGAAACCAAAAGUCCCUCCUUAGCAAUGGGCCAGCCAGGGACUUUAUACCUGCGUUAUCCCUCGAGCAAACCACGCCUACAGCCCCACUCAUCUGCGCACCUAUUUGGCAUUAACCAAACAGAGCAACAGGCUGAGAUUCUGGAGCCUGGAGAGGCUAGGGCAGGGGCUCUGAGCAGAGAAUGAGCUCAGAAGUGGGCUGAGACAGUCAAGGGCUGCUCGAGGGAAUCUGAGAAAUACAGCAUUCCCUCCUGGAAUAACAGGGGACCAGGAGGGUAUGGACAAGUACCCUCCUACCAGAUGGGUGUCAGGGGACAAAACACCCUGAGUGAGCAGAGGAGGAGGUGUGGGCCCCUCACCCUCACCCCACCCCUCUGCAUGGGCUGAUUCAUACAGCUGAGCAGAGAGAGAGUGAAAUGUCUUCCUGGAAGACCUUUGCCUUAAACUGCCAGCCACAGCAGUGGGGUGGGAGGAAGCUCUCCAACAGGGACAAAGGAGGAAGGAGGGAUCUGGUACCGAAGAGCCAGGGGCCAGGGCCCCAGUGAGCAGGGCCUGAGGCCAAGCCAGAGGUCAGUUAUUACCACGAGAUCAGGCCACAUCUGACACGACUCAAGGAAAGGAGCUGUGCUCCAGAAAACGAGGAGAUGGGUCAAGAAGACUGCAGAGACAGGAUGUGUAGAUUUAACUCCAGUUCCAGCUGCUGUGCUGAGUGACAAGGCCAGGUAAAAGUGAACUUGGGCCAGAUGGAGCAGAGAAGGCUGAUACGGUACCCAACACCCCUGCUGGGACAGGCUAGCACCUCUUUCUGCCAGAAGGAAGACCCAUUCGCUGUGCUGGAGACAGUAGACACUCGCCAUACAGGGCCCAGCAUGGAGGAGACGGCCCCACUGAGCUGGGCGGAGCGUGUCAUCUUCAGAGACCGAGACGGGUAUCUGCGACGGGAAAGUCUGGAACACCCGAGAGCCAUGUAGAGAGGAGCAGACGGAGAGGAACCCGGGUGCUGCCAGUGGCCCCGAGGAAGAAGGCUGGGAUGGGGCCAGGGUGAGCCUGUGGAUUCAGCCUUCUGAGCAGGGGAACAGUCCCGCUGGAGAAACUGCUCCCUGCAGAACCAACAUGAGGAGCCUUCAAACUCUUGUGAAAAAAAGGUCUUCAUCUCAGAUGUCUUGGUGCAAAAAGAUAAAAAUAAAGUAUCUGUGCAUGUUUGCCUACAAAGAACAGGCCAAGUGAAGUCACUCUUUGUGAAAAAUGAUGAGGGGGGACUUUCCUGGUGGUCCAGUGGUUAAGACUCCGCCUUC